GACGAACGCUGGCGGCGUGCUUAACACAUGCAAGUCGAACGCUGAAGCUUGGUGCUUGCACUGGGUGGAUGAGUGGCGAACGGGUGAGUAAUACGUGAGUAACCUGCCCUUGACUCUGGGAUAAGCCUGGGAAACUGGGUCUAAUACUGGAUACGACAUGUCACCGCAUGGUGGUGUGUGGAAAGGGUUUUACUGGUUUUGGAUGGGCUCACGGCCUAUCAGCUUGUUGGUGGGGUAAUGGCUCACCAAGGCGACGACGGGUAGCCGGCCUGAGAGGGUGACCGGCCACACUGGGACUGAGACACGGCCCAGACUCCUACGGGAGGCAGCAGUGGGGAAUAUUGCACAAUGGGCGGAAGCCUGAUGCAGCGACGCCGCGUGAGGGAUGACGGCCUUCGGGUUGUAAACCUCUUUCAGCACGGAAGAAGCGAAAGUGACGGUACGUGCAGAAGAAGCGCCGACUAACUACGUG
rnacentral:rRNA from 1 species